rnacentral:tRNA from 1 species
GCACCAAAGCCCUGUUUCAGGCUUUUCAAUAUAAAAGAAACAUGCGGAUGUAGCGCAGUUGGUAGCGCAUCACCU